rnacentral:rRNA from 1 species
GGGAUCAUUACCGAGUUUACAACUCCCAAACCCAAUGUGAACCAUACCAAACUGUUGCCUCGGCGGGGUCACGCCCCGGGUGCGUCGCAGCCCCGGAACCAGGCGCCCGCCGGAGGGACCAACCAAACUCUUUUCUGUAGUCCCCUCGCGGACGUUAUUUCUUACAGCUCUGAGCAAAAAUUCAAAAUGAAUCAAAACUUUCAACAACGGAUCUCUUGGUUCUGGCAUCGAUGAAGAACGCAGCGAAAUGCGAUAAGUAAUGUGAAUUGCAGAAUUCAGUGAAUCAUCGAAUCUUUGAACGCACAUUGCGCCCGCCAGUAUUCUGGCGGGCAUGCCUGUCCGAGCGUCAUUUCAACCCUCGAACCCCUCCGGGGGGUCGGCGUUGGGGAUCUCGGGAGCCCCUAAGACGGGAUCCCGGCCCCGAAAUACAGUGGCGGUCUCGCCGCAGCCUCUCCUGCGCAGUAGUUUGCACAACUCGCACCGGGAGCGCGGCGCGUCCACGUCCGUAAAACACCCAACUUCUGAAAUGUGACAUCGAUGAGUAGAA